UCCUCCCUCGACCGCCGCUCCAUAUCUUCUCUCGACCUGCCUCUCCUCCCCUCGUCAUCUUCUUGCGUCGUCGCCUUUUCUCCCCGCGUGCGCCGCAAACUCCCGUGGAGAAGGCCGGCUCCACGCCGCCACGGCUUGUCCCCGCACGGGCAUGUUUGUCGUCAUGGAUCUGCUGCCGUGCUGAAGGAGAGGAACAUCGGCCACCAGAAGGGCCCGGAUCCCAGUGUGCCGCCCACGUCCAUGCGUGCCGUCGGGGAGUCAACGUCGACAAGUGGUCAGGUUGGCGCGACCGGCCCGUUUUGCAAAAACACCCGUGCAGUUUGUUCGAAUCAACACGCAGUACAUUUGUUUAAGUACCGGCAACCCCCUCGUCUCCUCCCCUGUCUGCUCGUCACCGCCGUGAUACUGCUCGCCUCCGCGGCGCUCCGCUUCUCCUCUCUGCUUGCCUCCACAGCUCCACCACGCUCUCUCUCGCCUCCGCCGUGCUCCUCCACCUCCCCUUUGCUACGCUCCAGCUCCUCCUCCCCUGUGCUGCGCUCCCCCCCCCCCCCCCCCCCCCCCCCCCGAAAGAAUCGCUAGCGACAGGCAGCUUUUUUUGGCCAAAAAUCGUUGGAUCCGGCGUCAGAGAUGCCUUCAGCGACGAGGCCAGAUUCUUUGGUGGCAAGGACGGAUCCGGUGGCGAGCAGGGAGGAGCACCAUGAGGUGGACUGGAGGUAGGACGAGGAGAAGCAGCGCGCCGACCGGAAGCUCCGCGAGCUGGACCUCGAGCCUGACACCAACCCCGUCGCCGUCCACAUCUUCAAGACGCUGCAGCAGGAGAAGCAGCGGCUCGAGGAGGCGAAGCACAUCUUCAAGGCACUCGACCUCAACAAGGAGGCUCAAUAAUAACCGAAGAGCUUCAUGCGCUAGCCUACGCAACCAAAAGACCGAUCUAAUGGGACCUGUCCUACAGAGUAUAAUAAUUUGAGCGGUCCAGUUCCAGGGUCUUUGUCAAGGACAUUCAAGUCGAGGCGCUGCUCUGGUUUGUUCUCCGGCAUGACGCCGUCAGGACGAACCCCGGCUUCUUCUCGUCUAUGAGCUGCUCAAUGGAGCCGCUCCAUGGCUACGCAGAAGGAAGACAGAGGAGGUGCUCUGCUUGAGAUGAGGAGCGGAGGAACAGCUUGCCCUGAGAUGGCUGAAGGCAGAGCUCUGCCUCAUAUGCGGGAAGGCAGAGGUGAUGCUCGGCGGGCGACGGUGAUGCCUGGCGUCGGAGCCUGUUGGUAGGCGUCGGCAGGUGAGAGGCGACGGCGGCGUGCGACGGCCGACGGCAUCUGGCUGCUGGCGACGUCAUCGAUCUGUGAUUGAUUUGAAAUAGCGUAUGUACCUCCUGUGAUCUUGAUCUCUCUGUGUUUCAUUUGUAUUGGCGGCUGUUGGGAUUGAGAUCUGUGUGUGAUUUGAAAUAGCGGCUGCAGCUCCUGGAUCGUGCUAUGUGUGUGAUUUGAAAUAGCGGCUGGAGUAGUUAAUUGCUGAAUGCCUCUGUAAUAUUUUGUAAAGUGAAGGACCCAACUGUAAAGUUGACUUGUGAGUACCCCGUGCCAAUCUUUUCGGCACGGAGGGAGUAUAUAUUAAAAGCAAUAUGAUAUGUAUCGAGGAGAACCAACA